AUGUGGAGCGGCGGACCUGGAGCGCGGCCCAAGGAGCGGAUCUGGAGCGGCGGCGGAGCACCGGAGCAGCCGAGCGGCGUCGUCAUCCUCACCGUGGUUGGGAAGGAGAUUGAUAGAGACACGCCAGGGUUCUGUCUCGCCUGCUGCAUUGUUUUGAUCACAGCUAGCCCGAGGGAAACAAUCUCAGGGAACCAGGCUCUCGAAACCGAGUCAGACUCCUACAGCGAGUCACUAGUCGAGAGACAGGGCGGCCGAUGCAAGCGAAGCGGCAAAUCAUCAGAUACAAGGCGAAUAAGAAGGAUGGUGUCCAACAGGGAGUCGGCUCGAUGGUCCAGGAGGAGGAACCACACGCAGCUAACUGACCUUGAAUUGCAGGUGGAAUGUUGUUGA
rnacentral:rRNA from 1 species